AAAAAAAAGUGGCCUUGGAUAUAGUUCAUGGAAGUGUUUACAUCAGUAGUAGACGACCUCUUAGCUUCCCACGAAAGAAGCCCGUGCUGAUCCUCACUGUAUCUUGGCACUGCCACCAUCACCUUCUGGUUUAGGACUAGGGGAGCAAGUUUGGAGAUGCAGAGCCCCUGUUUGCCUCUCUCUCGAUGAGGAGGCCCUGGGUCUCCAGGACACCUGACUCAGUCUAACAUUUGGAUGACCUUCUCAUCCCUUCCACCAUUUGCUUCUCAGGGGUUUUGAAAUUCAGUCCUCAGAUGAAAUCUCAAGGGGACGUGUGACAGGGUGGAAAGAGUAAGAAGUUGAGUCAGAUGGACCCUGGCUAUAGCAUUUAGAUUCUAAUGCAGCAAGUCUGGGGCUGGACCCAAGGAGUCUGGAUGUAAGCAGCAUCCCAGGAGAUCCUGAUGCAGUUGGUCCCUGGAGAAAUACGGCCCUAAACAGGAUGCUCCAGAGGGCGUCGUGCUGGUCUCUGGCACACAGUGGCGGGUCCUGGAUUCCUGCAGCCAGAAAUCACCGGCGACUGUGAACCCACUUGCCUGCUGUGGACACCUCCUACAAACCUGAUUCGGAACUUGGAACCCUGGGCUGAUGACCGCGGAGGGCCCCUAUUCCACUGUCUUAGUUUACACCGGGGGAACUGAGGCUCAGAGUCGCACAGGGAGCUGUUCCGAAUUACAAAUCAGCUGCACUGCAUGGCAUGUGGAACUUCCCCAACCAGGGCCACCAGGGAUUGAACCUGUGCCCCCUGCAGUGGAAGCGCAGAGUUUUAACCACUGGACAACCAGGGAAGUCCUGUCCAUGUAAUUCUUGAUGGUUGUGUUUCAAUUUUUAAAAAAAGUCACAGACACGUUUUGCCAUCAGCAACAAACAAAGCAAUAACAUGGAAUGGCAUGCAGCCACACUCAGGGAAUCCUAGGGUGUCACUGAAGAGAGACAAAGGAAAUUGCAGACCUCUUGGAGCUGACUCUCACACUGAAGCCAGUUACAAAGCUCAAGGAGCUGCCUGCCUUUGUGCCAAGGAAAAGUUCAGCCCAGGCACGAUCUGGUCCGCGUGAGGAAGCCCUCACUCCAGCCCCACCCCUAACCACCAGAAGACUCCAGUCGCCUCUCCCUGCUUUCUUCAGCUGUUUUUGGACCUUCUUUGGAGCCUGCCCUGCUCUUCCCAGAAAGCCUGAUUAUGUCACGCCACAGGAUGCGGGAUCUUAGUUCCCUGACCAAGGAUUGAACCCGUGCCACCUGCAGUGGAAGUGUGGAGUCCUAACCACUGGACCGCCAGGGAAGUCCCAAAAGUAUUUUUAUAUGUUGAUCUUUAAAUGUUAAUUUCAUUAGUAAUCCUUUUUAAUUGAAGUAUAGUUGAUUAACAAUGUUGUGUUAAUUUCCACUCUACAGCAAAAUGACUCGGUUAUACAUAUAUGUACAUUCUUUUUUAUAUUCUUUUCCAUUAUGGCUUAUCCUAGGACAUUGACUAUAAUUCCCUGUGCUAUACAGUAGGACCUUGUUGUCCAUCCAUUCUCUAUGUAAUGUAGCUACAAUGCCAGAUGUCCAGUUCAGUAUGGGGCCCAGGGAGAGUUAGGCCACGGCACUGGCCCUCAUUUCCACAGCUAGAAGGAGGCCACCCUGGGGCUGGGACUCAGUCUCCCUGGGCCCACACCACCUUGCAGCCAGGGCCGCCUGACUGCCACCCCCAGCCCAUCGCAUUUGCUUGGGUCCCCAUCAGCCAGAGUGGGAAGAGCAUCAUCUCAGCAGAUAAUCCUGCCUGCACUUCCCCAGUCAUGACUCAUCGCAGGACACACCCCUCACUCAGCACUUCCCAGCCCUGCAUUCUUUUCCCUUCUCUGAAUGUGCUAAGUCCCUCCCACCUCAGGGCCUUUCCCCAUGCGGGUCCCCUGCUGGAAAGUUCUUCAGCCUUACAGGCUGAAUCUCUCUCCAUAGAGAACUGAAAGCUCUAUACAUGUUUCUGAGUAUCAUCUGUCUGUUUUCUCCACAUUUAGUAGUAACUGGUACAGAAUAAGUACCUAGAAAUGGCCCAGGCUUUAGGUGUUCUUUCCCGUCAGGCUGAGUAGAAACUUGUGCAGGGACUCGUGAGCUGGGAAAGCUUCCAACACUGCCAUGCAAUUUUGGAUUUCUCCAGAAAUCCAUGUUAUCUUUGUACCACCACAGAAUGAAAAGCCAAGGGGACACGUUACCAAGCAACUAUGAAAGUUCUAAAUAGUUGUUUACAAACAAAAGAGACAAGUAGAAUUUCUGUAACAUACUGAAUUUCUGAACAGCACUCAUUUAUUUCUUUCAUACAGUGUCAUUGAAAGACCUCCCUGGAAGAAGAUCCUAUUCACAAAAGCAACCAAAGGUAUAAACUACCGAGGAAUAAACUUAAAAAUAAAUGCUUAAAAAUGAUAUGAAGAAAACUGUAAAACUUUGUCAAGAGACAUGGGAUUUUAAUAAACACGGAAUGAGAAUCAGCAAAAUUAAGAUAUUAAAUUAACCUGUGUGUUUUGCACUAUCCAAGUCAAAAUCCUAACGUUAACUUUUCUAAGAUUUUUACCAAAUGAUACUAAAGUACAUCUCUAUGAAGAAUAAUAUGCAAAGAUAGCCCAAAAAUUCUGAAAAAGAAAAAUAAUGAAAAGGGGGACAUGGCCCCCUCCAAACAUUAAAGACAUGCACAAGAAUGUUCGUAGUAGCAUUAUUGAUGAUAGCCAAAAAUCAUAUAAAAUCCAAAUGCCUAUCAACAGUAGAAUGGAUAAAUUACUGCAUGUUCGUAAACUGAUCUACUAUACAAUAAAGGAUGAACUCCUGCUACACCCAAAAAUGUGGGUGAAUCCAAUAGGUAAAAAUAUGAGUGAAAAGCCAGUCAUCAAAGAGUACUUACUGUAUGAUCUACAGUAAGAUUUAAAGGAAGGUAAAACAAAUCGAGUGUGAUAGAAAUCGGAAGAGAGGUCACCUUUUAGGAAAGCAAAGACUGGUAGAAGGCACAAGAGAUGCUUCUGGUAUGAUGUUGCCCGUGACUAUUCACUUUCUAAAAAUUCAAAAUUAGAAUUAAAAAAAAAUACAUCAAUGAAAAUGAGCUCCCACUAUACUCAUCAACAUAAGUUCACAAAGAUAACAUUGAGUGAGAGAAAUCAGACACAAAUGAGUACACACUGGAUGAUAAUGUUUAUACGUUAAGAGAUAGCCAGAAUCAAUCUGUGAUG